GAGGAAGCGGAAUCCACAGCCUAUCUCCCGCUUCGUCUCCCUCCGCCACGGUCCGGGCCUAAACGGGAGCGGCGGGACUGGCGGCAGUAGGUAUCCCGGGACGGCGGCGGAGGCGGAGGGAGACGCAGGGGGCCCGGCAGUUGCCUGGCCGGGGCUACAGCAGCAGAAGAGCCCGCGGGCGGGGCAGCCGAGUUCCCGGAGGCCCCGCCUGAGCGCGCGCGGAGGAGCCGGAAAGCAGGAUGGCGGCGUCGGCCCUGUACGCCUGCACCAAGUGCACGCAGCGCUACCCGUUCGAGGAGCUCUCGCAGGGCCAACAGCUCUGCAAGGAAUGUCGGAUUGCACAUCCUAUUGUAAAAUGUACGUACUGCAGAUCAGAAUUUCAGCAGGAGAGCAAAACUAACACAAUUUGUAAGAAGUGUGCUCAAAAUGUCAAGCAGUUUGGAACACCUAAGCCUUGUCAAUACUGUAACAUAAUUGCAGCCUUUAUUGGUACCAAGUGUCAGCGUUGUACAAAUUCAGAAAAGAAAUAUGGAGCCCCUCAGACCUGUGAACAGUGCAAACAGCAGUGUGCUUUUGAUCGGAAGGAGGAAGGAAGACGAAAAGUUGAUGGGAAGUUACUGUGCUGGCUCUGCACCUUAUCAUACAAAAGAGUUUUACAGAAGACAAAAGAACAGAGGAAGAGUUUGGGUUCUUCACAUUCUAAUUCCUCAUCUUCAUCUCUUACUGAGAAAGACCAGCACCAUUCAAAACAUCAUCACCACCACCACCAUCACCACCACCGCCACGGCAGUGGCCACCACAAAGUCAGCAGCCUAAGUCCUGAGCAGGAGCAGGGACUGUGGAAACAGAGCCAUAAAUCCUCUGCAGCAAUUCAGAAUGAAACUCCAAAGAAAAAGCCCAAAUUGGAAUCUAAGCCAUCUAAUGGAGAUAGUAGCUCUAUAAAUCAGUCAGCAGAUAGUGGGGGAACAGACAAUUUUGUCCUUAUCAGUCAACUGAAAGAAGAAGUGAUGUCGCUUAAGCGUCUCUUACAGCAAAGAGACCAGACUAUUUUGGAAAAAGAUAAAAAGUUAACUGAACUGAAGGCAGACUUUCAGUACCAAGAGUCAAAUUUGAGAACUAAGAUGAACAGUAUGGAAAAAGCGCACAAAGAAACUGUGGAACAACUUCAGCCUUUGUCAUAUAUAAUUUAUCAACAAGUUACUGCUGUCAUUGGGAGACUAACUACAUAUUGAAAAUUAGCUGCAAAAGUAUUCAAGAGAAAAACUGCUUUCAAGAUCUAUUCUUUUAGUUCCUGCAUUUUGUUCUAAGAAAGAAAAAUGCCAAAAACAGAGAACUACUCAAACAGGUUGCAGCCUUGUCAAAGGGUAAAAAGUUUGACAAGAGUGGAAGCGUGCUAACAUCUCCUUGAAAAAGUCAUUUGUUUAGCAUUUCUGCCUGACAGUGUGUGCUUGAGGUGUCCUGUGACACCCUUAGGUUCUGUGCAGUGGAAAGAUAUUUUUACAUGCCAAAUAAGUUGGUAUGUCUCCUACUCACUUUUGUAACUUAAACACAGCAUUUUUUAAGUUGUAAACAUGCAGAUAAAACUUCAGCUGGUUUGGAGUGGCUUCUUAAUUCUUUGAUACCCGGAACUUUUUUCUAGCAAUAGUAUUAAUGGUUGUGGAGUGCACAAGUGUGCACUGUGAUAAAAUGCAACAUGCAAUAAUGGAGUGGUUGGCAGAAUAGCCGCAGGGGUUUGUGUUUUGCUUUUGUUUAACACUAUGCUGUUUUCAAAUAAUAGUUUUCAAUUUAGAAAUGCAAAACUUUUAAACAAGGAAAAUGGUGAACACUGUUUUUUUGGGAAUUGUAUUUUUACUUCACAUCAACAUGAAUUUAGAGAAUCAUGGUGCUUUUAUUAAAAGCUUCAGAGUAUAUGUAAAUAUGUUUUUAAAAGUUACAUCACUAACAUCAGUUUAGUAAUCUAACAUUUCAUUACUGUUAUAGGAUUGAUGUUUACUGUACAGCAUCCAAGGUAAAAUGUGGUUUUGUUUUGUAAAAACUGUAGAUUUUUACUUACAAGUGCCUUUUUGCCACCUAAUGUUUUUAUUUAUAGGAAUGCUGAUCUUUUGUACAUAUGGUUUGUUUAAAAAUCAUGUUAAUAAGUUUGUAUAUAAGUGCAUAUGUACAUAACUGGGUUUCAAAAAGAAAUCAAAGUUAUUAGUAACAUGCAGGACUGCAUAUUAAGUAUUAACUGAUGAUGCAUAUAGACAUUAGGUGAGUCUAUGGUUUGCUGCUGAGUCCUGAGGGAAGCUGUUGGUCAUUGAGGUCAUUUAAUUAUGUUGGAGUACUUUCCUAAAGAUUUAAUUUUAACUCCAUUUUGAUAGAGGGAUUUUAUUUUUAUGUUGUGUGGCUUCAUGUUUAUAUUUUGUGAGUUACAUGUUUUGCUUUAUUUUUAUAUAAAAUUUCUUUAAAAUUUAUAACGUUUCUAUAAUGGUCCAUAUAUCUGCUUUUUUUAUAAUGUGUUCUAAGUUAAUAUUUAUGUAUACCAUACUUACUUUGUAAAUUUAAUACAAAUCUGGAAAAUUAAAUAACUUUUUAUAAUCAAAUCCGUGCUUAUGUCUGAAUAAUUGAAAUCUAUAAGAUUCAGACACUAUUUAUAAGUAAUUUGUCCCAAAAGAAUAAAAUUGUUUAUAAAAGAUUAAGAUAGUGUGGGAUAGAUUCUGAGAAAUUACAAAUCAGCUUCUGACUCUAUUGGUUUUCAGCAAAUAACCAACAUCUGCUUACUGUUACUUCUGGCUUCAAGGUGAAUUGUAAACCUUUGAGCAUUGCUGGCCACACCAUAUGACUUCUUUCUCUUAGGAAUGUGCCGACAGUUAUACUUGUUUUCAUCAGUCCUGAGGGUUUAUUUUUAGAGAAAUGUUUAUAUGGUCUUCAUAUCAAAGAUUAGUGUUAAGAGUACAUAUAACAGUUCAUUUUAAAUUAUUCAAGUUUUAGUAAACUUCCCACAGUAGUUUGCUGCAAGUGAGAGGAAAUCUAAAAGUUUGGAAACACAUCAUUUUCAAGUGACAGUAAGAUUGAAUUAGUCAGCUUUGGUAAGUCAGCUGUCUGCCAUCAUGAGGCCUCAGACGCACGUUCACCUACUGUUCUCAACUGUGGUAGACGGUGCCUUACUGUGGGUGUUUGUGUUUGCAGGAUUUGCUGCACUCGUCAAGUAGUUAGUACAUUGCUUUAAGUUUUGUUAUGAUUUAUAUUAUAGUUUCCUGGCCAUUUUUCAAUCCACAGUAGUCACAAUUCUAAAUGAACUACAGUAGUUCUAAUACCUUGCUGGAGACGAUAGAAACAGAAUCCCUCCUCCCCUGUUUAGCUAACAUGGAAAUUUAAAACCAGUUUAAAAUAGUGAAGCUUUGUAAAGUGCAAGGCUAAAACUAAAAUUUAGGGCUUUACAGUAUUCAGCCCUAAUUAGACAUACUCUUUAUUCCAUGACUUUAUUUUAUAACUUAAAAUUUUUUGCAAUUGUAUAAAUGAGUGAUUGAGUCUCAGUCCCAGAUCCGUAGUGUGUUGAUCUAAUGAGUUGAUACUCUUUAAACGUGGACCUGUCCAGAGGUACUAUGGUGUGCUGUAUUGUGCUUUUAGCCUGUUUGCUGCAGUUAGCAUAUCCCAGUGAGGGUCAUAUGGGCUCCAGUUUAUCAUGUAUUAAUAGCCUGUGAAUAUUACAGUCAUUUUUAGAGUAUAUUGGUCUAAAUAUGCAUUUUACGAUGAACCUGUUAAGCUGGUCACAUGUAUAGAUUAACAAAAUACUGUACCUGUAUACAUCUGACUGUUGACAUUUUGUACUUUUUUUCUAAGCCAAUAUUUCACAAUAAAAAUAUGCCGAAA